AUUGAACGCUGGCGGCAGGCCUAACACAUGCAAGUCGAGCGGAUGAAGAGAGCUUGCUCUCUGAUUCAGCGGCGGACGGGUGAGUAAUGCCUAGGAAUCUGCCUGGUAGUGGGGGACAACGUUUCGAAAGGAGCGCUAAUACCGCAUACGUCCUACGAGAGAAAGCAGGGGACCUUCGGGCCUUGCGCUAUCAGAUGAGCCUAGGUCGGAUUAGCUAGUAGGUGAGGUAAAGGCUCACCUAGGCGACGAUCCGUAACUGGUCUGAGAGGAUGAUCAGUCACACUGGAACUGAGACACGGUCCAGACUCCUACGGGAGGCAGCAGUGGGGAAUAUUGGACAAUGGGCGAAAGCCUGAUCCAGCCAUGCCGCGUGUGUGAAGAAGGUCUUCGGAUUGUAAAGCACUUUAAGUUGGGAGGAAGGGCAGUAAGUUAAUACCUUGCUGUUUUGACGUUACCAACAGAAUAAGCACCGGCUAACUCUGUGCCAGCAGCCGCCGUAAUAC
rnacentral:rRNA from 1 species